GAUGCAUGUGGUACAACACAUUUCGAGGGUCAUUUAAAGGGCCCCAGAGUGUGCAUCUAAUUUGCUUGAGUCAUUUCAUCUUAAAAAUUAUAUCCAUAAAAAAGAAUUCCAAAGAAGCAAAAAGUUGUAUGUAGACAAUUUUUAAUGCAGCACUGCCUAAAAUCACUAAAAUUUCUCAACUCAAUGGAAUAUUUUAUACCCAUUAAAAUACGUAUAAAUAUGAAAUAUUUGUGUUAAAAUGUUAUAUAACAAAACCAUGAUACAGAAUUAAACCUACCCUAUAAUGACAAAUUUGUAAAUUGUGUCUGUGCUGGGAAUGAGUGCAGAAAAGCUGAUAUAUAUGAUGGAAGUGGGACUCCAUGUUGCUUUUUCUUGUUUUCUUUAAUAUUUUCAUAAUACUCUUUGUAUGUUAAUGCAAUCAGGAGAAAAAAAAACAAAUACAGUGGCUCUGUAGGCUUGGCUCAACUGUCAGGGACUGAACAGAGUCAUAUAUCUUAGGACAUAUCUGACUUAUUCCCUAGAAAUGAGGAGAAGUUUAGCCCUUUGAUAUUUGUGUCUAUCCCUUUCCUCUAGGAGCAAAAUAUCAGAUAAAAGAGUUUGUGGUUCUUUUCCUUCUGUUCUUUUCAUGUGAAGGAAGUGCAACUUCCCUUCUGUCCUAUUCCAGAAAUUAGUAAUCUUACCUCAGCCCCACUCAGGUCAGGUCCUGAACCACUUCUUCUUUCAAGGAUGGGAAACAGGAAGAAGUAUUUCAGGGGCAGUGGUAGUGCAUGUUUGUCUCUGCCCUGCAAGUAACCUCUGCCAACCAUGUUUUAGUGUGAUCUUGGGGGGGAAUACCUAAGACUCCCACAAAGCAUAUGGUGUGACUGUUUCUUUCUCCUGCCUGAAGUUUGGAUCCCUGUUUGGACAACUGAGGGAGCCUGUGGAACCAUCUAGAAUGCUUCUGAGAGAGCAACAGGCACCUUUGAGGCCAAUAUACCCUUUAUAUAUCAUUGGGGAUGUGCUAGCCAUAUCAUUGGUCAACCCAAGACACAAUGGGUAGAAUAAUUACAGCUAAUGUUGACUGAAUAUUCACUACAUGCACUUUGACAUCUACUAAUCUCAUUUAAUCAUCACAACAACUCCAAGAGAAUCUUCUCAGAAGGGUAGAUCCUGUGUGGCCAGUUCCUUUGAAUGUAGUGGAUCAAGCAAACUGGAGAGGUUUAAACAGAGGAUUCCAUCAUGAACCAGUUUCUGUGGUCUCCCAGGUUCUGAAGAGGACAAGAACCACGUGGAAAUUUAGUUUUGCCAGCUAGAACCAAUACCAUACUUUAACUUACAAUGGCUUUGGGGUUUUACUUCGAUAUGGCACCUCUGGCUGUGGAAUGGUAUGAUGCAAUAAGGUACAGGAAACAACUCCACUUCUGUGCCUGGAUUUCUGAGAUAACACAUGGAAGAUAACUUCUUGGGAGAGUUUCUCUUUCCUGUAGUAAAUUUUGGACAAAUAAGAAAUAAACUUCUAUUAUAUUAGGCACUGAGAUUUUGGUAUUGUUUGUUACUGCACAAAACCUGUUUUUGAUGCAGAAAUCCAUAGUCUGGAAGGAAAAUCCAUCUGAAUUUCUAGUUUUUUAAAUUGUAAAGUUAGGAUGCCGAUUUGAGAUCUUCCUUUUAUUUUAAUGUGUUUAUGACUAUAAAUUUUCCCUUAGCACUGCUUUCACUGCAUCCCAUUUUAAAUUUUGAUAUGUUGUGGUUUUGCUUCAUUCGUCUCUAAAUAUUUUAAAAUUUCCCUUGUAAUUUCUUCUUUGGCCAUUAGUUCUUUAAGAAUAUGUUGCUUAGGGGUGCCUGGGUGGCUCAGUUCGUUAAGUGUCUGCCUUUGGCUCAGGUCAUGAUCCCAGGGUUGUCAGAUCGAGCCCUAUACUGGGCUCCUUGCACAGCGGAGAGCCUGCUUCUCCCUCUCCCUCUGCUGCUCCCCCUGCUUGUUCUCCCUUUCUCUUUGUCAAAUAA